GAUCUGUGGGUGUCACUGUUGGUGUAGUCGUGGGUGGUCUUCUUCUCCUUGUCAUCGUUGUUAUUUGGGUGUUUGUGUGGAAGAAGACGGGGACAUCCAGCAUCUAGCCUGUGUCAGGACACCCCCGGUGACCAUGAUCUCUGAGGAAGAAUCAUCAUCCAACAACUUGUGCAGAUUUGUGCAGUACUGUAUUUUAAAUAUCCUGCCUUCAGCCCAAUGACUGCUGAGAUAGGCUCCAGUUCCCCCUGUGACUCAGAAGGAUAUGUGGCUUAGAAAAUGUGUGUGUGUGUUGUAUUUGAUUCAGAUGGUGCCUGUACUUGCCUUAAAGUCAAGUCUGAUUUUCUUUUCAAUAGAAAUGGCCCUACAUUGCACCCUCAUGUAAACGCACUAGGGCUCAGACAUCACUGUUGGUGCCAAUUCAGAAAGGAAAGAACUCUAAAUGUCAAGUCAAGUCAAGAGGUUUUUAUUGUCAUUCCAUCUACG